UAAAGAAGUGAAGAGGGAA
rnacentral:siRNA from 1 species